GAUGAACGCUGGCGGCGUGCCUAAUACAUGCAAGUCGAGCGAACAGACGAGGAGCUUGCUCCUCUGACGUUAGCGGCGGACGGGUGAGUAACACGUGGAUAACCUACCUAUCAGACUGGGAUAACUUCGGGAAAACGGAGCUAAUACCGGAUAAUAUAUUGAACCGCAUGGUUCAAUAGUGAAAGACGGUUUUGAUGUCCCUUAUCGAUGGAUCCGCGCCGCAUUAGCGAGUUGGUAAGGUAACGGAUUACCAAGGAGACGAUGCGUAGCCGAGCUGAUAGGGUGAUCGGCCACGCUGGCACUGCGACACGGAGCAGACGCGGACGGGAGGCAGCAGUGUGGAAUCUUGCGAGAUGGGCGAAAGCCUGACGGAGCAACGCCGCGUGAGUGAUGACGGUCUUCGGAUCGUAGAACUCUGCUAUCAGGUACGAACAACUGUGUAAGUAACUAUGCACGUCAUGACGGUACCUGAACUGAAAGCCACGGCUAUCUACGUG
rnacentral:rRNA from 1 species